GCCACCCUAGCUCAGUUGGUAGAGCACACCCUUGGUAAGGGUGAGGUCGUGGGUUCAAGUCCCAUGGGUGGCU
rnacentral:tRNA from 4 species